rnacentral:misc_RNA from 1 species
GCGGAAGUAAAGUCGUAACAAGGUUUCCGUAGGUGAACCUGCGGAAGGAUCAUUAAAAAAUUGGACUCCAUUGGUGAGUUCAUUAAUAAUCCUACCCUUUGUGAAUUUGUUGUUUGAAUAAUUUUUUUUCCAAAAAAAUUAUUGAAUGUCUUUCCCUGUUUGGUGGAGCUUGUAAAGUGAAACCAGGCAGGGAAUGGCAAACAAUAAUUAUUUUUGAAAAAGACCUUUUUUAAAAUUAAACUUUUUGUAUUCAUUUGUCUAAAAUUAUUUUUUAUAAUAUAAAAAACAACUUUCGACAAUGGAUCUCUUGGUUCUCGCAACGAUGAAGAACGCAGCAAAAUGCGAUAAGUAGUGUGAAUUGCAGAAUACGUGAAUCAUCGAAUCUUCGAACGCAUAUUGCACUUUUUUAGUUUACUAAAAAAGUAUGUCUGUUUGAGUAUCAGUAAAAUAUUCUCAUAAAAAAUUUAUUUUUUAUGGUUAUGAGUGUUUUACAACGAUAACAAGUUGUUUCACUUUAAAUUCUUUGUUAUCAAAAAAAUCAUUAAAAGCUAAUUUUAAAGAUUUUUUAAAAUUGGAUAAAAUUUUCCCGUAAAAAGGAAUAACCUAAACAAUUUAAAAAAUUAAAAUUGGUUUGAUUUUUCUUGAUUUAAAAAGGAAAAAAAAAGUAAAAAUUAAACUUGAUCUCAAAUCAGAUAAGAGUACCCGCUGAACUUAAGCAUAUCAAUAAGCGGAGGAAAAGAAACUGACUAGGAUUCCCUCAGUAACGGCGAGUGAAGCGGGAAGAGCUCAAAUUUGAAAUCUUCAAGGUUUUACCUUGACGAAUUGUAGUUUAAAGAAGUGUUUUCUGUUGGAGUUUUGGUAAAAGUUCUUUGGAAAAGGACAUCAUAGAGGGUGAGAAUCCGUAUUUGACCAUUAUCUCCAGCUUUGUGAUACACUUUCAAAGAGUCGGAUUGUUUGGGAAUGCAGUCCAAAAUGGGUGGUAAAUUUCAUCUAAAGCUAAUACUGGCGAGAGACCGAUAGCGAACAAGUACCGUGAGGGAAAGAUGAAAAGAACUUUGAAAAGAGAGUUAAACAGUACGUGAAAUUGUCAAAAGGGAAGCGUUUGACACCAGUGUUGUUUUCUCGAAAAUCAAUUAAAAAAGGCCGGAUUUUGUGUUGUAUUGACUUUAUCAGCUUUCUGCACUUUUUUCUUGUCUUUUUUAAUGCACUUUUCGUUUAACAAGUCAACAUCAAUUUCUUUUGUUGUAAAAGGGUCAUUGGAAGGUGGCUUUCUUUUCGGAGAAAGUGUUUAUAGCCUUUGGCCUCUGCAAUCGGAGAGAUUGAGGUCUGCAGCGUAGAUCCUUCGGGGUUAGAUACAUUUGUGCUAAGUUAUAGCCUUUCAUAGACAACUUGUUGACUAUGAUCAGUCAUGUAGCUUACUCGCUUAUGCUAUUUUACCUACGCUUAGGAUGUUGAG